UUUUGUUAAUAAAUGUGUCACAAGUAUAUAAAAUUUAUUACAAGAAAGCACAAUAAAUCUGAUCAGUCGCGUUUAUAGAUUUGAAGAAAAUAUGUCUAAGUUUACAGUUAUUUUGGCUCUCGUAGCGUUGAUCGCUAUUGUGUCAGCGCGUCCACAAGUGGACGUUGUUGACCAAGACCCAGGCUCAGUUAAUGUCAUCGGUGGAGAUGAACAAGUAAACAUUGUCGACAAUGACGAUCAAGUUGUCGUGGUUGAAUCCUCUGACCCCGUUUACGAACCGCGGAGGUGAAGUGCAUUUUAAUCUUAAAUAAAUUUGUUUUUAUGUAAUUUAUGUAAUAUCAAUAUAUUUUAAUUAUAUGUAUCAUGUUA